rnacentral:hammerhead_ribozyme from 1 species
AUCCAGUCGACGAGUCCCAAAUAGGACAAAAUGCUCAUCCAGGAU